rnacentral:rRNA from 1 species
GACGAACGCUGGCGGCGUGCUUAACACAUGCAAGUCGAACGAGUGGCGAACGGGUGAGUAACACGUGGGUGACCUGCCCUGCACUUCGGGAUAAGCCUGGGAAACUGGGUCUAAUACCGGAUAGUGUGGGAUGGGCCCGGGGCCUAUCAGCUUGUUGGUGGGGUGAUGGCUACCAAGGCGGGACGGGUAGCCGGCCUGAGAGGGUGACCGGCCACAUUGGGACUGAGAUACGGCCCAGACUCCUACGGGAGGCAGCAGUGGGGAAUAUUGCACAAUGGGCGCAAGCCUGAUGCAGCCAUGCCGCGUGUGUGAAGAAGGCCUUCGGGUUGUAAAGCACUUUCAGCGAGGAGGCGUUACUCGCAGAAGAAGCACCGGCUAACUCCGUGCCAGCAGCCGCGGUAAUAC